CUUCCCAGCGCUCCUCGCGCUGUGCGCGGCGCGUCCUCUCGCCGGUGACCCGGUGUGCGUGGGGUCGAGGCGCCGGGCGGAGCGGCUCCGGGCCGAAACGCCAUGCGGAGGGGCGAGCGCAGGGACGCCGGGGGUCCGCGGCCCGAGUCCCCGGUGCCCGCGGGCAAGGCCUCGCUGGAGGAGCCGCCUGACGGGCCGUCUGCCGGCCAAGCCACCGGGCCGGGCGAGGGCCGCCGCAGCACCGAGUCCGAGGUCUACGACGACGGCACCAACACCUUCUUCUGCUGCGACCCUGGGCUGGCCCUUUGCCGAUGCUCCUCUGUGAGAAGGAUCAAGCCGUCGACCUGAAAGCAGGCUUCGUGAGAGGAGGGUUUGGCUCUUCUUGACUGCAAGGCGAGCCCACACCUUAACCGUGCUCUUCAUCCUCACCUGUACGCUUGGCUACGUGACGCUGCUGGAGGAAACACCUCAGGACACGGCCUACAACACCAAGAGGUAAGCUGCCCUCUCGUCCUGCCUUCUGAAACUGCCCUGUGCCCCGUGUGGUGGGUGUGGCACCCUUACUGCUCGGGCUGCCGGGGGCUCAGAAGGCCUUCACCAGAGGGCUGCGUGGGGCCGCCAGCCUCUCCCUUUAGUGUGUCUGACGUGCAGACUCCGGGGCUGCCCUUGGUGCUGCGUGGCGUUCCCGGUCAGCCCCCGUCACCUGUCACUGGGAGCCAGGAGUCUGUGUCAUCUCCACGUGACCGGCAGCCUGUGCUGCGUUUCCCCUGAGUUUUGCAUGUUGAGGUUGGAAUGAGCUGCAGCAGCUACAGGGCUGAGCCCUUGAGUUUGGGCGUCUCCGGGGGUGAGGUUCCUGCGGUGGCCGUGUGCUGGUUCCGUUAGCCAGCAGGGCUCUUGCACGGACAGGGGCCGAUACAGACCGCAGACCAUCUGGCCAGCAGCCAAGCGAGUAAACUCGUCUUCUCAGGUUUAUCUCCACAGGCAGGCAGGCUAGACCUUGGGUGUGUCCUCUGCCUGAAUUCCAUGGAUUCUGACGCCAGUCUCAGAAGUGCGUGUGGAAGAGAAGCUGGUUUUAGAGCCUGUGAAUCAGUCUUGAGUUUUCUGUGCCUGACUCUCCUCUCGCGUUGCUCUUCCGACGCGCGCACAGGGUGUGUCUGCCCAGGGCUGCCUCCUGCCCAGCAAGGCUGCUGACACCAUCAGGGCCUGGCCCCACUUGCUCCGGCGGGAUGGUGGGAGGAAGCCGGAGCAGAGUCUGAGA
rnacentral:sRNA from 1 species